ACCAAUGGAAUCACUGACUGUAACAGGACGUGACUUCAAGGUGGAAGGCUUUAAAUCUGUUCCACGUCCUCCUACUAUGAUACAUAAUUACAAAACGGAGCAGCCUAUUACUAUCUGGACUGACCAUGCCACACAAAUACAUGGUGUCACUCCAAUAAAGAAUCCUCAUACUCCAUUUCGAAAAAAUACAUCAUUUACGAAACCAAUAACGG